rnacentral:lncRNA from 1 species
UAUCAAUUAACAUCCAUUAUAAAUGUCAAUAAAUUAUCAUUACUGUAACCUGUUCAAAAGCUGCUCGUGCCUGCACACCAUGGUUUACUUCUGCAAAAGCAUCUAGAAUGCCUUAAUUUAUGACGGCUUGACACGAAGUGGGUCCUCAGUAAAAGGUAUAUAUCUAGAAGUAUAGUCAUGUGCCACAUAACGACAUUUUGAUCAACAAUGGACCAUAUAUACAAUGGUGAUCCCGUAAGAUUACUACAAUAUAGCCUAAGUGUAUAGUAGGCUAUACCAUCUAGGCUUGUGUCCCCACUCUAACUAUGAAGUCCUGUGAUUGCUCCUUAGCUGUGUUCUCUCUUCCACCGCAUGGAGAUAAGGAUGUCUUGGAAGCAAUACCGCCACAAGAUAAGUUGGCUCUCACACUUAGCCUUUAACUGUUUGUUAACUGCCUUCAGUUUCUCAUUAUCCCUCUGAAGGGCUUCAAUUCACUUAGUAAUAACAGCCUCUGUCCUUGCAGGCAUUUUCCCUUCUGUGUCUUUUAAAGGCCUGAAUUAUUGCAUUGGUUAGCCUGUUUUUCUCCACUGGAUGUUUCCCCAGGUGAUUAUCUGUGAAAUAUUCAGAGGUUGAACAACCACCCUGUGCCAGAGACAAAUCUGUGGCCAGUAUUCCACUGAGGUUGGGAUUCUCCUUGCCAGCCAGUGAGUGAGCUGGUCUCUACCCUAUAGGCUGCCUCCUUGGACCAUUCCCAGCACCAGCUAUUCAGUUCAGUGUAUGUGCAGAGCAGGUACCAUGAUGGAAUUAGAGGAGUAGGAGAUUUAUUGGGAGGAAACACCUGUGAAGGAUAAAGUGGAGCAGGAGCAGGGAUUAGCUAGGAAAGACUUGAGAUUAUGAUGUGGGUCUGACACCUGAGAAAGGAGAGAGGGAAGGAAGGAGCAGCUCUGAGAAAGUCUUUCCCAGGCCUGUGAGGCACCUGUGAUAAAGACUGCUCACUAGAGGAGUCUCCCAUUGGGCAGUAAUAGUCUGCUUCUAGUAGACUCACUAUAUUCAGUCACAGGGAACAGCCUGGGAGGAGGGUGGCGUUGGUGUGAACACUGUGGUGGAUGCUGAAGGCACAGCAGGUAGAGGCUGUCAGCCAAGAUCCUCGUUGGUACAAGUUAUCUCUUGAAAGGAAAUGUGAGCCAUGCACACCCAUGGCUGCCACUUCUAUCCUUUCCCCACUGACCUGUAACGCCUGCUUUGUCAUAAAUCAGGUUUCUUUGUUUCCGUGGGUUUAUUUUUGAGUUCUCUGUCCUGUUUCGGUGAUUUUCAUAUGUAUCCCUGUGCCAGUACCACCUUAUCUUAAUUAGAAGAGCUUUCUUUUAAGUCUUGUUAUUUGCUGAAAGCAAGCACCUCCACGUUGUUCUUCUUAUCCAGGUUUAUCUGGGCUGUUCUUGUUCCUUUCCUCUUUCAUAUAAAUUUUCAGAUCAGCUUAUCAAGUUCCAUAAACAGCCUUUUAGUGUUUUGACUGGAAUUGCAUUGAAUAUUUAAGAUCAAUGGGAAGAACCGACAUCUUUAUGAUACUGAGUCUUCAAAUCCAAUGACGUGGUACAUCCUUCCAUUUAUCUGUCUUUUUAAAUGUCUUUCAAUAUUUUAUAUUUUUUUCCAGAAAAGGUUUGCAUAUCUUUUUAAAGAUUCAUCAUUGAUAUUUUAAAUUUUUGUCGCUGAUGUAAAUGGUAUCUUUUCUUUUAAAAAGUUACAUUUUCUGUUUCUUGCUGGUGGGCAGUCAUGCCUUUCAGAAUUAUCUCACCUUGAGGCAAAGGAGCCUGGCCCUUAUACCCCUCAUCAACCAGGCACUGGGUAAGGAUUGCCCUCAGGGACUGGGUAUGGCCCUUGUGAGAAGUCUCUUGGCCUGAGGACAAUGCCUGCAGUGUGACUCAGCUGAGAGCUGUCAGCUGCCAACAGUCCCACCAGCUGGGCGAAGACUCCUCUGUCCCGAAGGGGGAAUCUCGGCAGAGUAUCACAGCAAGCGCUAAAUGCCCUUGAACAGGUUGACGAAGCUUUCUUUUAUUCUGUUUGUUACAUGUUCCUGCUUUGGUAAA